AUGUCUGUUUCGCUCCGUCGAUGCUUCAAUCGUAGUGAAGAUGAAUCGAAACCCACGUAUGUUGGUUCAACUCAGGAUUUAAGUAGUCGUGUAAUCGUGAAGCCCUCCCUGAUAAAUCUGAUAGCUUUGAUUUCCGAAUUGGUUUCGGAUGGCUGCCAAUUGUAUGCAGCACGCAGGCUUGACGUUAAGGGUGAGAACCAAAUUGCAAAGUUACCUUGA
rnacentral:lncRNA from 1 species